rnacentral:misc_RNA from 1 species
GCAGCUCCUCCUCCUUCCUCGCCGCUGGACGCCACUGCACCGGGUGGCUCUCCUCGUCGGCGAGGGCGGCGGUGAGGCCGGACUUGCGCGGGGCGUAGGGGCGGCUGAUGCUCGAUCUGGAGGCGUUGGAUCGAGCGGAAUUGAGAGAAGAUGUGUCGGAGAAUGGGGGAUCGAGUUCGCCGUCGUCGUCGGAGGCGUCAUCGGCCGCGGUG